CUAAAAAUCAACCUACUCCCUCAUUUUCUGAAAACUGCCGCCCAACCCCAAAUGUUGUUCUCUCAUCUCUCUCAAAUGAGAGACACGGCAGUCCCCAUCUCCCACGGCCUCCCCUUUUAAUCUCUCUCUCUCUCUCUCUCUCUCUCUCAUUUUUGGAGAGCCCUCAGCUGUCUCGUAGAGGAAACCCAUCGGCUCUCUCUUUUAUCUUCACUCUCAAAUGGAAAGGGCUACUGUUUCUCUUCUUAGCCAUCAUCGCUGACCUGCAAGCUACCGGAGAAGGUGACUCCGGUGAGACAAGGUCGUUCAUUUUUCUUUAGAGUCGCCAGGCGUCGCCGCCUAGGCACAACCGGAUUCGCUGUUGUUCAAACGCCACAGAUCUGGCAUUGAACGUCGAACCUUCAUUUCAUCUCUUUCUCGACCUCACCGGAGUUCAUCGUCAGUGGGUCAUUUGCGACUGUUCGAGACUGCUUUUUGCUACCUCUAUUUUAACUCAUCGCACUUCCAUUUUUAAGUCGUUGUUAUGACUGUUGUUUAUUACUGAUGUUCUAACUUUUGUGAUGAUUUUGGGGUUUUCUUUUAAAAUUCACUGUAUUGCCUUGCUUGGCCGGAAACAAUAGAAUUCCGGCGACCCCCUGUUAUGCUUUGAUUUUGACUGGACAAAGCAUACCCAGCAGCCCUCAUAUUUUGUCAUGGUUUCACUUCAUUCUUUAAUUUUUCUACUGAUUUAAAUCAUGAGACCCAAACGAUGGUAAUAAAACAGGCACAAAAUAAUUUUGGGGUUUGAUUAUUCUCGGAUUUCUACCGAUGCUGGUACUGUGACUUUUAUUUGUCACUAUUUGUUCCCUAAAUUAAGAGAUGCUUUUGCUGCUUAGAAGUUUAGUUUAACCUUCGUAUGUGUUUGAGGCCUUCGCUGUUGAUUGUUGACCCAUGGUUUACUUGCUUCCUUCACAAAUUUGCACAGCUGAUUAAAAUGGUACUUUGGCAUAUAAAUUCUUCCGCCUUGACUAUGUGGUAAUGUCAUAUUUCCGGUGCACCUCUUUUCGCUAUUGCUAUAAUUUGAAGUUUGCAGGCGGAUCUGUUUGCUUGGGAAACGUUUUUGGUAUUGUUAUUGCCCGUCUAUGUCAAUUGAGCAUGAGGUUGGUAUUGAACAAAAUUUACACUAAAGCUGAUGAGAACAAUAUUUUGAGGCCACGACGCCCUGAAUGACCCUCAUAUUGGGCCUGAAAUAACGAGGUAUUAUUACGUGGAGCAGCUUUCGAAAGAUGACACUCGGAGAUGAAACCUACCAUGUCAAAUUCCCGCUUCAUGCUUCCCAUUCUUGGAUGUACCAAAACGUAAUGUAUAGCAAAAAUUGUAGAUCGAGUUUGUGUUUUCUUGCUUGCUUUGAUAAUGUUUAUUUGCUAAACACUUGGGGAAUUGCAUAUUAUUAAUAAUCAGAGUAACUUGCAAUAUUGUGUGUCAAAUAAUUCUUCAAGUGUGUAUAGGAUGUUGAAUUCUAGACAAGCCUCAAUGGAUACUGGAAACAAAAGGAGAGUUCAGUGUAAAGUCAGCAUGGGAAUACUUGAGAAGAAGAAAUGAACCUGCCAAUGCUUACAAGAAAAUAUGGGUGAAAGGUUUGCCUUGCAAGAUUGCUUUCUUCAUGUGGAAUGUGGAAAGUAUGGAGAAAUAAGCUGCCUUUUGAUGAUUUUUUCAGAAGAGUGGGAUACCUAAUGGCUUCUAAAUGAUGGUGUUGUACUGAACCAAAGGAGGAGACAAGGCAGCAUCUCUUCUUUACAUUAUAUGCUGCUAAUAGAGUGAAAUUAUUUUCUUGGGCAUGCAGGUAUUGCAUUGGAUGGGAUUACAUUUCAUCAGGAUGUGACUUAGGUGCUAGACUGUUGAUGUGAUUCCUAGAUUGCAGCCUAUUCUGCAAGCUUUACUAGCUGUUAUUGUGUGGGAGUUAUGAAAGAGAAGAAAUAGCUACAAAUAUGGAGAUGCAGUAUCUAUAAGUAGAGUUAUCUAUCAAGUUUCCACGACCAUGCAAUCCUUAGUCAGAGUUAGAAAGACAGGCCUGCAGAAUGUGCCACAAAAAUAGCCAGAACUGUUGAAUAUAAUGGAGGCCUAUAUACCUAAACUGAAGGUUAGUAAGGUGAUGUGGGAAUAUCCAAGUCCAGGGUGGAUCAAGGUUAAUACAGAUGUGGCUUAUAGGGGAAAUCCUGGAAGAAGUUCCAUUAGUUUUGUGCUACGAAAUGAGGAGGGCGAUGUAAUAUAUGGAUGUGGAAAGGAGGUACAGGAAAGAACAAAUACUAAAGCUAAAGCAAAGGCAAUUUUGGAAGCCUUGAGGUUUUGUGUGGAAAAUGCCUAUGUGCUUAUUGAGCUUCACGCUGAUUCAAUGAUGCUCAAAAAUGUGAUAACUGGAGAAUGGAGUGUGCCAUGGGCCAUUACUGCACAGGUAGAGGAGAUUAAUGAAAUGAUGGCAAGGAUCAACGUAACGGUUGCUCAUACAUUAAGGGAAGGAAAUAGAUUGGCUGAUCAUCUAGCUAAUUAUGCAUUAGAUGUUGGAUCUAUUCAGGCUUACUAUUUUUGGAGCUAGAGAAUUAAGGGAGGAGUAUAGUAAAUAAUGACAAAUUACAAUGCUCGUAUCUAAGAGUAAAAGUAGCAAGAAAUUAGGAGGAGAGGAGAUAACAAGGUGGAGUAGCAGGCUGAAAACAACUGGAGAAGUAUGGUUACUUGAAGCAAUGAGGAUUGAAUAGAGUUUGGAGUUAAUAGGAUCAAGGGGUGUGUUGUGGAGAAAGAUAAUGCACCCAAUAGCAUUGAUACCACAUACAGGGAGCCAGGCGAAUAGCUGUGCAGAAUAAUAUGUUGCUGCUAAUCAUCAUACUCAAGUCCUUAGGGAGGAGGAGAUGAUGAUCUUUUUUAUACUAACUCUGUGUUCUUUUUUGCAGGGAUCUUUACUAUAUCCAUGUCCUACUAUCUGCUAUAAAUUCAAAGGGUGGUAUUAGCAGUUGAUGCUCAUUCCCUUUAAAAAGUAGUAUUAAUAGUAGGCAUAAGCAUGGAAACAUGUAAAAUUCUGCCCAGAAAGUUAAUCGACAUAAGAUUUUGGCAGUCGAAUAUGGGAACAAUGGGUGCAUUGUGUUGCAAAAAACCAAUACACCUCAUUAGUUAUACAUCCCAAGAAUGGUUCCAAUCAAUGGUUACCACAGAUUACUAUUGGAGAUCACGCGAUCACACGUUUAAAUAUGGGAUAUGCAAGAGAAAGCUGCCCAGAAGCUUGAUCGAUUUACUACAUGACUUGGGCUUUUGGAACAUAAAAUUGGGAGCACUGGAUGCAUCGUGGAACAUCACCCUAAUGAAUAUCAGUAACUCUACAUCCCAAGAAUGGUGCCAACAAUUGACAUCAACAGAUGCCUACUGGAGAUCACACGACUACCUGCUCAAACAGUGUAUGCUCCCACAUGCUCGAAAAUGCUGAAACUUAGUCUCAUUGAGAAGCAAGUAUAACUGUCCAAGAAAUUGUGAGAAUGCAGUUGCAUUACUGGAUACUAGUCAUCAUGACAAUCAAAUAAUACCAAGGGAUAAGAUGGGCAGAGGUAAAGAUAGUCACGAUAUUUUUCUGGAAAGACAAGGGCGUUCCAAGACAGUAGGCUUUACAAUAGAAGUUGCUACAGAUUAUAUGGAUGAUCGUAGGAGUUACACAAUUGAGGAAGAUGCAGAUGCAGGUUUGCAAAUCAAUUUGAAAGAUUCAUUACUGGUUUCAUUAAGUUCACCGUUGAUACAGCAAAGGGAAGAUAGUCAAAAUUGCAACAAAAGAAGGCUACAUAUGGGCUUCAAUUGUGAAGAUUUAGCAUGGCUAGUUUUUAUAAAACAGUUUCACUGCUUUAUUAGCCUACUUUUUGUGAUAUCAGUGUUGAGCACAUUUCCCAACAUUGAUAAUAGAAAGUAUAUAUUCGUCAAAGUAUAUUUCUUUCAUCUUGUAA